rnacentral:lncRNA from 13 species
CGGCCGCCUCGGGCGCGAGGGGGCGCUAACGGUCCCCCUCCUCCAUCCCCGCGCGCGCCCGGCGCUUCCCGCCCUUUUUCCUCCCCUCAGGGCUGAGGGCGGGAAGGGGGAGGUGUCCCCUCCGAGGUCCCUCGCUCCUUCUCCGCUCCCUCGCCCACACCCGGCCCCUGAGGUGCUUGGCAGCGAAGGACGGCCCCGGCCACCCCCUCCGCGCCCGUUGUCACAGCCCCACAUCGCUCCUCCACAGUGCGCAGAAAUAUGUAGAGAGAUUUUCAGGAGUGCAGAGUCAGGUGAAGGACCUGUUGCAGGGCUCUGGAGAGGCUGCAGACCACAAGUUCUGUCUCUGAUCUUUCAGAAUCUUUUUCCAAGCAAUGGAAAAGCAACAGUGCAAGAAGCAGCCGUUGGCACCACACAGGAAGUGAGUAGGAGAAUCAUGUUUCCAUGUUGUUAUCCUGCUACUGAUCUAUGGUAAUUCGUGCUUGCUGCCUUUGGGUUUACAUCCAAGUGAUGAGCUCAGAUCCCAAAUUCACUUCUCACUUCAUUAACUGGUUAUGGGCCUGAAGGGACCUCUAAAUGUCACCUGCUGCUACCCCCUGCCUUAGCAGGGACAUUCUGCACCUGGUCAGGUCUCUCAAAGCCCUGUUCAGGCCCGGUGUGGAAUAAGCCUCUUUUUGGAGUCUGUAC